rnacentral:misc_RNA from 1 species
UCAAACUUGGUCAUUUAGAGGAAGUAAAAGUCGUAACAAGGUUUCCGUAGGUGAACCUGCGGAAGGAUCAUUAUUGAUUAAAUCUGGUCAGGCUUGUUGCUGACUUUUCGGAGUAUGUGCACGCCUGUCCAUUUUUAUUUUAACCACCUGUGCACUUUUUGUAGAUCUGAAGUUUAACUCAGGAUUUAAAACCCCCUGGCCAGAGGAAUUGCUAUAAUGGCUCUCCUUGAAUUUCAGAUCUAUGUUUUUUUUAUUGCAUAAUACACCGUAUGUAUUAGAAUGUGUUAAUAAUCAAGGCUUGAUUGCCUUUUAAUAAUACUAUACAACUUUCAACAACGGAUCUCUUGGCUCUCGCAUCGAUGAAGAACGCAGC